GUAGGUGGCAAGCGUUGUCCGGAAUUAUUGGGCGUAAAGCGCGCGCAGGGCGGUUUUUUAAGUCUGAUGUGAAAGCCCACGGGCUCAACCGUGGGGGGUCAUUGGAAACUGGAGAACUUGAGUACAGAAGAGGAAAGCGGAAUUCCACGUGUAGCGGUGAAAUGCGUAGAGAUGUGGAGGAACACCAGUGGCGAAGGCGGCUUUCUGGUCUGUAACUGACGCUGAGGCGCGAAAGCGUGGGGAGCAAACAGGAUUAGAUACCCUGGUAGUCCACGCCGUAAACGAUGAGUGCUAAGUGUUAGGGGGUUUCCGCCCCUUAGUGCUGCAGCUAACGCAUUAAGCACUCCGCCUGGGGAGUACGGCCGCAAGGCUG
rnacentral:rRNA from 1 species